AUUGAACGCUGGCGGCAGGCCUAACACAUGCGAGUCGAGCGGAUGAAGGGAGCUUGCUCCUGGAUUCAGCGGCGGACGGGUGAGUAAUGCCUAGGAAUCUGCCUGGUAGUGGGGGAUAACGUCCGGAAACGGGCGCUAAUACCGCAUACGUCCUGAGGGAGAAAGUGGGGGAUCUUCGGACCUCACGCUAUCAGAUGAGCCUAGGUCGGAUUAGCUAGUUGGUGGGGUAAAGGCCUACCAAGGCGACGAUCCGUAACUGGUCUGAGAGGAUGAUCAGUCACACUGGAACUGAGACACGGUCCAGACUCCUACGGGAGGCAGCAGUGGGGAAUAUUGGACAAUGGGCGAAAGCCUGAUCCAGCCAUGCCGCGUGUGUGAAGAAGGUCUUCGGAUUGUAAAGCACUUUAAGUUGGGAGGAAGGGCAGUAAGUUAAUACCUUGCUGUUUUGACGUUACCAACAGAAUAAGCACCGGCUAACGUCG
rnacentral:rRNA from 1 species